rnacentral:rRNA from 1 species
GAUGAACGCUGGCGGCGUGCCUAAUACAUGCAAGUCGAGCGAAUGGAUUAAGAGCUUGCUCUUAUGAAGUUAGCGGCGGACGGGUGAGUAACACGUGGGUAACCUGCCCAUAAGACUGGGAUAACUCCGGGAAACCGGGGCUAAUACUGGAUAACAUUUUGAACCGCAUGGUUCGAAAUUGAAAGGCGGCUUCGGCUGUCACUUAUGGAUGGACCCGCGUCGCAUUCGCUAGUUGGUGAGGUAACGGCUCACCAAGGCAACGAUGCGUAGCCGACCUGAGAGGGUGAUCGGCCACACUGGGACUGAGACACGGCCCAGACUCCUACGGGAGGCAGCAGUAGGGAAUCUUCCGCAAUGGACGAAAGUCUGACGGAGCAACGCCGCGUGAGUGAUGAAGGCUUUCGGGUCGUAAAACUCUGUUGUUAGGGAAGAACAAGUGCUAGUUGAAUAAGCUGGCACCUUGACGGUACCUAACCAGAAAGCCACGGCUAACUACGUGCCAGCCGCCGCCGUAA